rnacentral:rRNA from 1 species
AUUGAACGCUGGCGGCAGGCCUAACACAUGCAAGUCGAGCGGAUGAAGGGAGCUUGCUCCUGGAUUCAGCGGCGGACGGGUGAGUAAUGCCUAGGAAUCUGCCUGGUAGUGGGGGAUAACGUCCGGAAACGGGCGCUAAUACCGCAUACGUCCUGAGGGAGAAAGUGGGGGAUCUUCGGACCUCACGCUAUCAGAUGAGCCUAGGUCGGAUUAGCUAGUUGGUGGGGUAAAGGCCUACCAAGGCGACGAUCCGUAACUGGUCUGAGAGGAUGAUCAGUCACACUGGAACUGAGAGACGGUCCAGACUCCUACGGGAGGCAGCAGUGGAGAAUAUUGGACAAUGGGCGAAAGCCUGAUCCAGCCAUGCCGCGUGGGUGAAGAAGGUCUUCGGAUGGUAAAGCACUUUAAGUUGGGAGGAAGGGCAGUAAGUUAAUACCUUGCUGUUUUGACGUUACCAACAGAAUAAGCACGGGCUACCUCCGU